GACGAACGCUGGCGGCGUGCUUAACACAUGCAAGUCGAGCGGUAAGGCCCUUUCGGGGGUACGACGAGCGGCGAACGGGUAGGAGUAACACGUGGGUGACCUCGCCCUCCAGCUCUGGGAGUAAGCCUCGGGAAACCGGGUACUAAUACUGGAUAUGACUCCAUGACGCAUGUUGUGGGGUGGAAAGCCUUGUGCGGCUGAGGAUGGG
rnacentral:rRNA from 1 species